GUUCUCAGUUCGGAUCGGAGUCUGNAACCCGACUCCGUGAAGCUGGAUUCGCUAGUAAUCGCGCAUCAGCCAUGGCGCGGUGAAUACGUUCCCGGGCCUUGUACACACCGCCCGUCAAGCCAUGGGAGCCGGGGGUGCUUGAAGUGCGUCGCCGCAAGGCGCGCCCUAGAGCAAAACCGGUGACUGGGGCUAAGUCGUAACAAGGUAAC
rnacentral:rRNA from 1 species